rnacentral:tRNA from 1 species
GCUCGUGUGGCCCAAUUGGCAGAGGCGCGUGACUUAGGAUCACGAUGUUGGAGGUUCGAGUCCUCUCACGAGCA